UGAUGAGACAGGAACUACAUUUGAAAAAGUUAAAGUGAGUAUUGUUGCCAAUGAAGUGCCAGGCGGGAAGCGGAUUCUCAGUAUAAAUAUUAGAGCCCAACAAAUAAUUUUAAAAAUCGUCAUAAACAAUUUGGUUUUAUGAAAGGAUACAAUACCACGGUA